AACGAACGCUGGCGGCAUGCCUAACACAUGCUAGUCGAACGAGACCUUCUGGUCUAGUGGCGCACGGGUGCGUAACGCGUGGGAACCUGCCCUUAGGUUCGGAAUAACUCCCCGAAAGGGGUGCUAAUACCGGAUAAUGUCUUCGGACCAAAGAUUUAUCGCCUUUGGAUGGGCCCGCGUUGGAUUAGCUAGUUGGUAGGGUAAAAGCCUACCAAGGCGACGAUCCAUAGCUGGUCUGAGAGGAUGAUCAGCCACACUGGGACUGAGACACGGCCCAGACUCCUACGGGAGGCAGCAGUGGGGAAUAUUGGACAAUGGGCGAAAGCCUGAUCCAGCAAUGCCGCGUGAGUGAUGAAGGCCUUAGGGUUGUAAAGCUCUUUUACCCGGGAUGAUAAUGACAGUACCGGGAGAAUAAGCUCCGGCUAACUCCGUG
rnacentral:rRNA from 1 species